rnacentral:rRNA from 1 species
CUCAGAUUGAACGCUGGCGGCAGGCCUAACACAUGCAAGUCGAGCGGUAGCACAGAGAGCUUGCUCUCGGGUGACGAGCGGCGGACGGGUGAGUAAUGUCUGGGAAACUGCCUGAUGGAGGGGGAUAACUACUGGAAACGGUAGCUAAUACCGCAUAACGUCGCAAGACCAAAGUGGGGGACCUUCGGGCCUCAUGCCAUCAGAUGUGCCCAGAUGGGAUUAGCUAGUAGGUGGGGUAACGGCUCACCUAGGCGACGAUCCCUAGCUGGUCUGAGAGGAUGACCAGCCACACUGGAACUGAGACACGGUCCAGACUCCUACGGGAGGCAGCAGUGGGGAAUAUUGCACAAUGGGCGCAAGCCUGAUGCAGCCAUGCCGCGUGUGUGAAGAAGGCCUUCGGGUUGUAAAGCACUUUCAGCG